rnacentral:rRNA from 1 species
CGUACAUCCAGAGAACUUAGCAGAGAUUGCUUUGGUGCCUUCGGGAACUCUGAGACAGGUGCUGCAUGGCUGUCGUCAGCUCGUGUUGUGAAAUUGUUGGGUUAGUCCCGNAACGAGCGCAACCCUUAUCCUUUGUUGCCAGCGGUUCGGCCGGGAACUCAAAGGAGACUGCCGGUGAUAAACCGGAGGAAGGUGGGGAUGACGUCAAGUCAUCAUGGCCCUUACGGCCAGGGCUACACACGUGCUACAAUGGCGCAUACAAAGAGAAGCGACCUCGCGAGAGCAAGCGGACCUCAUAAAGUGCGUCGUAGUCCGGAUUGGAGUCUGCAACUCGACUCCAUGAAGUCGGAAUCGCUAGUAAUCGUAGAUCAGAAUGCUACGGUGAAUACGUUCCCGGGCCUUGUACACACCGCCCGUCACACCAUGGGAGUGGGUUGCAAAAGAAGUAGGUAGCUUAACCUUCGGGAGGGCGCUUACCACUUUGUGAUUCAUGACUGGGGUGAAGUCGUAACAAGGUAAGCGUAGCGAG